rnacentral:rRNA from 1 species
CUACGGGUGGCAGCAGUGAGGAAUAUUGCACAAUGGGGGGAACCCUGAUGCAGCAACGCCGCGUGGAGGAUGACGCAUUUCGGUGUGUAAACUCCUUUUAUAUGUCAAGAAAAUGACGGUAGCAUAUGAAUAAGCACCGGCUAACUCCGUGCCAGCAGCCGCGGUAAUAGCGGAGGGUGCAAGCGUUACUCGGAAUCACUGGGCGUAAAGGACGCGUAGGCGGGUUGGAAAGUCAGGUGUGAAAUCCUACAGCUUAACUGUAGAACUGCACUUGAAACUUCUAAUCUAGAGUAUGGGAGGGGGAGACGGAAUUAGUGGUGUAGGGGUAAAAUCCGUAGAUAUCACUAGGAAUACCUAAAGCGAAGGCGAUCUCCUGGAACAUUACUGACGCUAAGGCGUGAAAGCGUGGGGAGCAAACAGGAUUAGAUACCCUCGUAGUC